rnacentral:tRNA from 1 species
GGGUCAUGGGCCAGAUGGGACGGCUCCGCUUUUACACGGCGGCAUUGACUAGGUUCGAUUCCUAGAUGACCUACCA